UGUUUUGGGUAAUCGCUAUAGCGAUAUAGAGGAAAGUCCAUGCUCACACAAUCUGAGAUGAUUGUAGUGUUCGUGCUUGAUGAAACAAUAAGUCAAGGCAUUAAGUUGACGGCAACGAAAUAACCUAAGUCUUUAGAUACGGUUAAAAUAGUUUGAAAGUGCCACAGUGACGUAGCUUUUAUAGAAAUAUAAAAGGUGGAACGCGGUAAACCCC
rnacentral:RNase_P_RNA from 1 species